GACGAACGCUGGCGGCGUGCCUAAUACAUGCAAGUUGAGCGAUGAAGAUUGGUGCUUGCACCAAUUUGAAGAGCAGCGAACGGGUGAGUAACGCGUGGGGAAUCUGCCUUUGAGCGGGGGACAACAUUUGGAAACGAAUGCUAAUACCGCAUAAUAACUUUAAACAUAAGUUUUAAGUUUGAAAGAUGCAAUUGCAUCACUCAAAGAUGAUCCCGCGUUGUAUUAGCUAGUUGGUGAGGUAAAGGCUCACCAAGGCGAUGAUACAUAGCCGACCUGAGAGGGUGAUCGGCCACAUUGGGACUGAGACACGGCCCAAACUCCUACGGGAGGCAGCAGUAGGGAAUCUUCGGCAAUGGACGAAAGUCUGACCGAGCAACGCCGCGUGAGUGAAGAAGGUUUUCGGAUCGUAAAACUCUGUUGGUAGAGAAGAACGUUGGUGGGAGUGGAAAGCUCAUCAAGUGACGGUAACUACCCAGAAAGGGACGGCUAACUACGUG
rnacentral:rRNA from 1 species